rnacentral:rRNA from 1 species
AUGUUGGAUGACUGUCUUCUAGAUUUUAACAGGCACGACAAGCCCUCUGCUGCUUGUCACGGCCUGCUUUGUAGUCUCUGGUCUGGCUCGGCCCGUUCUUACCCAUCGUGGGCUUCCAGUCAUGCCCAUCAGAUCGGUAUCCCUCAUCAAGCAAACGAGGUAAACCAGUUGUUGAACAUUUAUUGCCAAGCUUCGGGUCAACGCAUAAAUCAUGAUAAGUCGUCAAUACACUUCAGUAAAGGCACUCCGGACAGUGUAAGAGAAGCAAUAAAGGUGGUGUUACAAGUUCAAAAUGAGGCGCUGAGCGCCAAAUACCUCGGGAUUCCCACGGAGGUGGGGGCUUCCAAAAAUGGGGCUUUCAAAUAUUUGAUAGAUUACUUAUGGAUUAGGGUUCAGGGAUGGAUUGAGAAAUCAUUAUCUUCAGCAGGGAAAGAGGUAUUGGUUAAAUCUGUGGCUCAAGCAGUCCCAGUCUUCUCUAUGUCCUGUUUCAAGCUCCCAAGGAGCUUAUGCGAGCAUUUGAAUAUGUUGAUUAGGAAAUUCUGGUGGGGGAGUAAAGAAGGACACCGCAAACCUAGUUGGGUUUCAUGGGAAUCAAUGACCCAACAAAAAGUAUGGGAGGAUUGGGUUUUAAAGACUUUGAGCUCUUCAACUUAG